rnacentral:tRNA from 1 species
UGAGGAUGUGGCUCAGUGAUACAGUGCUUGCCUAGUAUGCAUGAGGCCCAGGGUUCAGUUCCCAGCACUGAA